CCUGCACGUAGCGAAUAGAGGCAAUUUCCAUUUUCCUGGUCCUGCUGCAAACUCCCUUCCCCGCCUAAUUCUUCCCGUCAGCUCCCACCCCUUUUGCUUAAUGGAGAUGUUUGUCUUGGAUGUCUUAGCAAUGGGAGAGAGAAAGGAAGAGGGCUUACUGUCCUGGGACUGUGUGGUCGACUUGUGCCAAGGUUUCUUUGAAUCUGGAGCCAAAUUCUGUUAUUUAUUUACCCUGUGUACAUCCUCCUUCAGCGAAAACUGAAGCCCCCAGGUGGCACCAGUGAUGCCAAGAAUGCAUAGACUCCCUCUCACUGUCUUUGGAGUCUCUUGGUCCUCCUCUGUGGUCCCCUCGAAAAUGAUUUAUUAGACUGUGAAUGAAUUUACAACCAACCAGUCAGACUUCUCAUCGUGAAUCAUUUCUAGACUUUUUGCCAGUUUUUUUUUUUUAAAUGACAAUGACUUUCACCUCUGAAACUCGCAAAACGGUCAACCCUCUCUUUUCCCAGCUUAUCUGGGCUCUGAGAAAAGAGAAAAAAGUUUUAACCGUGACUUAAAAGGGACUUUCCAGUACACAGGAUGAAUGAAUCUCACAGGAUAGAUAGAGAAAGAGACUCAGGAAUGAAACUCUUUCUACCUUGGAGAGAAGCCAGUGAGCCAGCUGAGUUUGGCCAAGGAUAAUGUUGUUAAAAUGGAGGGACAUGUGCAGGGGUCUCUGUGUGAAACAUCAGAAUGCAAACUGGAGGAGGAAUGCUCCAGAGCCUGGGGGCUGCAGCAUGGCAGAUGGUUUCCCGUGCACCCUGGGGACUCUGGUAUGGCUGAGAAGAUUCCUGGGCAGGUCUAGGAAUGCCAGACCUGAGACCUGGAAAGCCAUCUGGUCAAGUCCCCAACCUGGAGCAUCUGGUGACCUGAGCCUCUGAGCCUGCAGGCCAGAAAGCUGUGUGUGCCCUUGGGGAACGUGGCAGAGCCUGUAAGCUUCCUCUGGCAGUUGGUUACAGUGUUUUAUUAUCCUGCUGGUCAAGGAGAUCUUUCAUUUUGCCCAAAGAGAAUCUUGCCUGCUUUCGUGUCAGCUGUAAUUACCCUUGCUGAGUCCUUCUGGAGGACUCAGAGCCUGAAAACAAUUCUGGUACCGAUGUACAGUUCUGACUUCAGAGUUGGUCCUUACUUAAGUGAGGCUUUCUCAUUUAGCACCCUCAGCACCCACCCUGCUUCUAACUGUGACUUCAUCCUUCUCCCGACAUUGUGGAUGGGGACCCCUUUUCUCUCUAGGAAUCAGAGAAUGUCAGCCUGGGUAUAGAUUCAUCCCUGCCUCUCAGAAAAAACCCUCCCUUUUUCUGAAGGCCUCCUGGGAAUGGAGGGCUCGCUACCGCAAAGGGCAGCUUCCAGGCCUGGCCAGAUUUUGCUUACUGGGGAGCUCUUCUUAAACUGAACAGAAAUCCGUCCCCACCCCCGGGUCUGUGUCAUCGACAGUUCUGCUCAGGAAGCCUAGGACAGCACACCUGGACGCCUGUGCUGCUCACAGCUCCCUUGAGUGUUGGGAGAUGGUUCUCUUGGAGUGAGGGAAGGAGUUGGUGUAAAAAAUCAAGCUACUGAAUUCUAGUCCUGGUUGUGCUACCUCUAGCUUCGUGACCUAGAUCACUCAUUUAAAAAUCUCCCGCCUUCAUUUUCUCAUCUAUAAGAUGGGAGUCGAUCAGGUAGGAUGUAAAGUUCUUUCCAACUCUCAAAUCCUGUGGGGUUCUGACCCGUUCGUUUUCAGGUUCCUGGUGAUCUGUGCGACACCAGAGGGGCACUGGACUGUUCUGCAUCUUCCUUUAAUCGUCUUUGUCCACAGUGGCCGUAUCAUAUUGUACUUUCACAGUAACGCUAAGGUCACAUGAGAGCUUCUGCCAAGCCAGGACAACCCUAGCCUGAACGUGGGCGUCGGCUUUUUGAGCCUAAAUAAAGAACUUCACUUUUCUCUC